UUCUCCCUGAGACUUAGAGUCUCCUGAAGGAACGUUGAAGACGACGACGUUGAUAGGCCGGGUGUGUAAGCGCAGCGAUGCGUUGAGCUAACCGGUACUAAUGAACCGUGAGGCUUAACCUUACAACGCCGAAG
rnacentral:rRNA from 4 species